AUCUUCCUCACCUCAAUAAUACUCAAAGUACUACACUCCUACAGUAACUCCUUUUCACCACCCAAAGAAGCUGGCAAUGGCAUGGUCUCCUUCACCGUUUGUUAGUUUUCUUCUCCCUCUUGUCUUGUUCCACAAUUUGAAAUGAAUGCAUAUGAUAUGUGAGAUACUCCAUUUGUAUCAAGAAAUUCCUUACUUGAUUUUCACCCCCAACCACACAAUGAAAGGUAAUAUUCAACACUUGUUUUACCUAAAUUAAAAUUUUACCUAUGUUUUGUUUUUGGAUUUUUCUUCUUCUUAUCGAUCUAUUUAUUUACUGAAAAAUAAAUUACUUGUUUUUGUUGGAUUUAUUUUGGAAAAAGUUGGCAAGGGAAAACAAAGUACAAUGUUUUCUUCAACCUGGUAACGAUUUUAUUAACUCAUGUUCCAAAAAAAAUUAAAAAAGAGUUGAGAAAUCUGUCAGACAACCGUGUGACCAACCCAACCAGACUAUGCUGACUUGGGAACGAUCAUCUACAAUAUCUUAUGAUGAAUCCCGUAGGAUGUCAUCACAGAACCGUUAAUCACGCUCUGAUCACACGAUCAUAAUUCAUCGUCCAGAAUUUUUGUUCCUGUCUCCUUAGAAAUCAAGGACACAGUAGUACGAUCCUAUAGAACAGAUCCUGUUCAAGUAAGGUCGUGACUAUCACUCUUUUCGUGUCGCUUAUAAACACUUGUUUCUACCUUUGCGCUAACGAUGUGGGACUAUAUUUAACGUUUCUACUACUUUCCAGACCGUGCUUUAUGUCUUUUAUUGUCACCUGUUAUUUAUUGUCGCGUGUUGUACAAUCUAAGCUCAUCAAUUUUGCAUAACGUUUGAUGAUUUUUUCUAUACUCAUUGUUGCCAAACUAUAUCUAUUUCUGAAAUUCUUUGAAUCUUUUAAAACUGACUUUAAAAUUAGUAGCUAAAUGAUGCAAUUAGACAAAUGUAGGUUUCAUCAUAAGAUUACAAGAAUUUUAAGGUUACAAACAACUUUAAGAAAAUGCUUUUGUAAGCAUAUCAGCCAGCAGGAAUAUCUUUUGUGCCAAUCUUCUCAGUAGUUUUGCACUGACUUACUAUUGCAGGCAACUAGCAUGUCAUAUACAUAGAGGAGCAAGUAGACAAUAUUUCCAUUCUUAGCACUUUUCCAGUACACACAAUUAUCAGAUAAUUACACCUAUUAAAGCCUAGCUUUAACAUAAAACUGUCAAAUCGUAUAUAUCACUGUCUAGGUGACUGCUUUAGCCCGUAUAAGGAUCUCUUCAACAAACACGCCUUUUCUUUUUCACCCUCCUUGACAAACCCCUCAGGCCGUACAUCUUACGGUUCCAGCUCCAUGUCUUCUUGAGCAACCAAUCUAAACCCUCAUUCUCAAUCCUUAAUGAUGCAUAUUUGGAGGUGAGCUCACUAUAAUUUGAAUUGUGUUUUCUCUUUUUCAACUCUGUUCGUCACGUGUCAAAACAUCAAAUUUUGGAUUAUAUAUGCGGUUGUUCUAUUAUGGCAGCCUACUAAAAGGACGUGUCAUCAGUAGUAUGUAAUGUGGCUUGGGUUUUCAAUUCUAAAGUGAAUCUUAAGGAUAUGCAAAAUCUCUUUAGGACUGUUAAUCUUUAGCUGUUUGCAUCUUAUCAUCUAUGUAAGGUCUAUAAACUCGUCGAAAAACAAAAGUAUACAAUACAACUUUCACUAUAUUCAAUCGCAUAAUCUUAACAUAAUCAGUUAACCAUACAAGUUGUAUGUUAUUCUAUGUUUUUGGCCGGAUCAACUAUUAUACACUAAAUCAUUUGAUAGCAGAUAGUCCCUUUCUCUUUUGUGAAAAUAUCAAUCUUAUUUUCUUUGCUUCAACAACAGGUUUUUAUCUCAUGGCAAUGCUUAUUUGUUAAAGAUAGUAUGAGAAUUGAGAAGUAGUUUUCAUCAUUUAGGCGCCAACGUAUUGUAUCAAAAUUUAUCUCACUAUUUUAACCUGAUCAAUGGUUUCAUAUUUGAAACGCGUGGAAUUAUGAAAUGCCUAUUAUUCUCUAUUACCUUCGAGUCCUCUUUGUGUCAUUUGUUUGUUGUCCAUACUUUUCUAUCAUCACACUUUAGUUGAAGUGCACUUCUAUAUCAGUUGGAACACUGGUACUAAAUAUAUACAUGUGAUUAUAGAACAAAUCCUGUUCAAGUAAGGUCUCUCCAUGUCUUAAUAUAAACGUUCAGACAAAGCUUAUACCAAAUGUGAGAUUCAUUUGAUGCCAACACUGCUUUUGUAAAUGAAGUUCCGACUUCAGUUUAAACAGGAUUUUGUGAUGCCAAUCAUCAUAGUUUCGCAAACCUUUUUAAUCUAUAUUUUUUUCUGAAUCUUUUCAAAUAUGUUUUGAGGUAAAAUGAUGUCACGAGUGUUAGCAUGACCUCAUAUCGAAGUAACAGGAUGGGAAGAGCUUGAUGAUAGUUGUUAAAAGAAAAACAAAAUUAAGCAUGUUUAAUUUAAUCUGUUUGAUAACUAUUUCUUUACUUGAUCUCUCAAGUGUACAUAUAUUUUGUUUUGGUAUGAUUGCAACCAUAACCAAUUCAAAUUGCCAGGUCAUAACAACUGGUUCAAUAUGGAUUGAUGGUGUUUGCCCUAAUGGGGGGCAUGAUUUGGUUAUCACAAGAACAAAAUUGAAGAAACAGAUACUGCCUUAAAAAAGUUUGUAGUUUGUAUCUUAAUCCCAUAUUUGCAACUAUUUUUUCCCCAUUUUUCUUGGUUGAAC
rnacentral:lncRNA from 1 species